UUUUGAAAUUUUGAUUUUAGGUAAUCCAUAUAGGUCAAAAUGAAGUAAGUUUGACCAUGUUGAGAGGGGUAUAUUAUAAGAACAUGAAAUGGCAAGCUGCCAUUAAAGUCGAUAAAAAACAAAUCUAUCCAGAGAACUGAACUUUGAGCUCACGGCUGAGGAGAAGGACGAACUCAGUAAACUGAUUUGGGAUGAUUUCUUAACCAUGACUCGAACAUCAGAGACGGGUUAGUUCCCGAAUGAAGUUCGAGCAUCCGUCACAUAACAGCAGUGACCCGCAUACGAAGGCGGAUCAAGGAGGAAAGAGUUUCUCAGGAUCUGAAGAUGUUGAGACAUUGGGUUCCCGAUGAUUUAAAACUUUAUUAUUGGCAUUUCUUUUGUUAAAACAUUAUAAUCUU